CAACUCCACCAACCUUUUUAUUACCCAAUCAAAAGCAAUGUCUAUCGCCCUCACUUUCCUAACCAAAAUUGUGCUCAACGAAUCAGCUUACCUUGUGUCUUUAGACACACCAAUCACUAGCUUUCCUCUGCCACAACAUCGUCACUAAACUUACUUAUUCUCUAUCUUUAGAAUAGUCAAUAUCUCUUUACCGAGUUUCUACCCUUAGACCAAUCGCAUACUUAAUUUAUACAUACGCACCAGUGUAACUAGGUUCUAUAUAAAGUUGUUGGAAUGAACUGUGAUUUAUACGUAUCAAUUCAAUGCACAUUCAAUUUUGAUUAUUGAAUUCAUAAUAAAGUUUGCUAAAAAUAAAGUUAAUAGUUGUGUUACGGCUCAACCUUUUUGUUGUUAUCAUCUAAGUCUCAAGUUUACAUGACAGGCGCCAGUUACAGCUAUGCAGCCACAAACGACUCAUCAACAAAUAUGGACCUUCCGUCACUAUUUCCAAAUUGUUUUCCAACAUGAUACUUUUCUAGGUAUGCAGCCAUCAACGACUCAUCAACAAAUAUGGACCUUCCGUCAUUAUUUCCAAAUUGUUUCACAACAUGAU